AUUAUUUUUGGCCCAUACAGUUUCCUUUGACUGGAAGUCUGAAACUGAAGAUAGGGCAUAUUGUUUUGGUUCUGAGUGGCUGGAGAUAUUGUUGCUUGAUGUCCCUAGAGCACUCGGACCCUUCCAAGAUAGAAGAUCUUUGGGAUUGACGUUCUGAUGAGAAAGUAGCAUACGGAUGGAUGGACAUGAACUAUUCAGUGGUCGAACUGCGCUAUAUUUCUUUCAUUGAGGCGAGGGUGAUUCCAGUAGAUUUUGCUUGGCGUACUCGCUUUUUAUUGAU